rnacentral:rRNA from 1 species
AGUCUGACCAGCACGCCUCGUGAGUGAUGACGGUUUUUGGGUUUGUAAACUUUUGUCUUGUUGGGGGAGUGUGACGGUACCUGAGGGGGAAGCCCCGGCUAAUACGUGCCAACAGCCGCGGUAAUACAUAGGGGGCCAGCGUUGUCCGGAAUUACUGGGCGUAAAGGGAGCGUAGGCGGCUUUACAAGUUACAUGUGAAAACCCCGGGUUUCUCCGGGCUUUGCCGUGCUGUGUUCGUUAGUGAAUGGGAGCAGAAGCAAUUCCUAUGGUGCGCGAAAUGCGUAGAGAUAUGAGGAACAACACUGUGAAGGCGCUUGCUGGGCCUUAAAUACCGCUCAGGAUCGCAAACGCGGGGGGCACACACGAUGAUAUACCCUGGUAGUCCACGCUGUAAACGAUGAUUACUAG